rnacentral:tRNA from 1 species
AAAAAAUUAGUUAAAUCAUAACCUUAGUAUGUCAAACUAAAAUUAUUAAUAUAAUUAAUAUUUUUUA